rnacentral:misc_RNA from 1 species
GUGAAUCAUCGAAUCUUUGAACGCAAAUUGCACUCUCUGGUAUUCCGGGGAGUAUGCCUGUUCGAGGGUCGUUAGAAUACUAAAUCGUUGCGUCGUUCUUUUUUUUAAGGGUUCUCGCGUCGGAAUUGAUCCGUCUUUCAAAUGUUAUUUCAUGUCAAACUGGCUUGAAAUUCAUCCAUCCGGUACGAUUUAAGCGUAUUUAAGAUCAAUGUAGC